GCGAACGGGUGAGUAACACGUGAACAACCUGUCCUCACGUUCCGAAUAAUUGGGAGAAAUCCCUUGUAAUGCGGGCGAGGAUUUAGAUGAGGCAUCUCAUUUAACGGGAACGCGCAAGCGGCGCGAGGAGGGGUUCGCGGUCUAUCAGCUUGUUGGUGGGGUAACGGCCUACCAAGGCGACGACGGAUAGCUGGUCUGAGAGGAUGGUCAGCCACAUUGGAACUGAGAUACUGUCCAGACUCCUACGGGAGGCUGCAGUCGAGAGUCUUGGGCAAUGCACGAAAGUGUGACCCAGCGACGCCGCGUGAUGGAUGAAGGCCCUCUGGGUCGUAAACAUCUUUUAUGGGGAAAGAAAAAAAUGACGGUACCUAAGGAAUAAGCAUCGGCUAACUCCGUGCCAGCAGCUGCGGUAAUACGGAGGAUGCAAGCGUUAUCCGGAAUGAUUGGGCGUAAAGCGUCCGCAGG
rnacentral:rRNA from 1 species